rnacentral:lncRNA from 1 species
AAAAUGGGGACGUCGGGAGCAUUCUCUGGACAGCAGGAGAUGCAUGUCGACAGGCUGGCCCUGCCUCUUCCCACCCCAGAGUGAUGCAGCGGUGUCCUGGACCCCUGGGGAGAGGUGACCCCCCCAGCAGGAAGCUGGGCCUGGUUUCUGUCCCUCUGCAGCCACAAGGCCUGGCUAGGAUGCUGGGAGCACCACACCCUGGAGACUCAGCUCACCAAGGACUCAGGGGCGGGGGCUCCCCUGGCACCUGGGAAGCUGGGCCCCCGGCCCCCUGGACUCCCACCCAGACACCAUCUCAACCCAGGCACUUCCCCCGGGCCAGAGGGCAGCCUGGCAGCCCUGGACUCCGGGAGGGCCGAGUCUGGGGAGCUGGACGACGUCACAUUCCACUCUUGAUGAUGCCGCCCCAGUCCUACAAUCUGGACAGCAGGAGAAGCUGCCCAUUUCCUCCAUCUCCGGUCCCUGGAGGUUCCCCGGAUCCUUUCAGGGAAGACCAUGGGCCCUAAACGAUCUUCAUAACAAAACUGAGAAGUGGCCUGGCUUCUUCACUGCGUGCCUGUGUGCUGGGAUCUAGCGUGGCCCGACUGGGCAGCUCCUUUCCUUCCCUGACGCUGCUCCAGGGGAAAGAA